rnacentral:rRNA from 1 species
GUAGGGAAUCUUCCACAAUGGACGAAAGUCUGAUGGAGCAACGCCGCGUGAGUGAUGAAGGUUUUCGGAUCGUAAAACUCUGUUGUAAGGGAAGAACCAGUACGUCAGGCAAUGGACGUACCUUGACGGUACCUUAUUAGAAAGCCACGGCUAACUACGUGCCAGCAGCCGCGGUAAUACGUAGGUGGCAAGCGUUGUCCGGAAUUAUUGGGCGUAAAGCGCGCGCAGGUGGUUUCUUAAGUCUGAUGUGAAAGCCCACGGCUUAACCGUGGAGGGUCAUUGGAAACUGGGAGACUUGAGUGCAGAAGAGGAAAGUGGAAUUCCAAGUGUAGCGGUGAAAUGCGUAGAGAUUUGGAGGAACACCAGUGGCGAAGGCGACUUUCUGGUCUGCAACUGACGCUGAGGCGCGAAAGCAUGGGGAGCAAACAGGAUUAGAAACCCUUGUAGUCC